rnacentral:rRNA from 1 species
AGAGUUUGAUCCUGGCUCAGAUUGAACGCUGGCGGCAGGCUUAACACAUGCAAGUCGAGCGGGGAUAGGUAGCUUGCUACCGAUUCCUAGCGGCGGACGGGUGAGUAAUGCUUAGGAAUCUGCCUAUUAGUGGGGGACAACGUUCCGAAAGGAACGCUAAUACCGCAUACGUCCUACGGGAGAAAGCAGGGGAUCUUCGGACCUUGCGCUAAUAGAUGAGCCUAAGUCGGAUUAGCUAGUUGGUGGGGUAAAGGCCUACCAAGGCGACGAUCUGUAGCGGGUCUGAGAGGAUGAUCCGCCACACUGGGACUGAGACACGGCCCAGACUCCUACGGGAGGCAGCAGUGGGGAAUAUUGGACAAUGGGGGCAACCCUGAUCCAGCCAUGCCGCGUGUGUGAAGAAGGCCUUUUGGUUGUAAAGCACUUUAAGCGAGGAGGAGGCUUACCUAGAUAAUACCUAGGAUAAGUGGACGUUACUCGCAGAAUAAGCACCGGCUAACUCUGUGCCAGCAGCCGCGGUAAUACAGAGGGUGCGAGCGUUAAUCGGAUUUACUGGGCGUAAAGCGUACGUAGGCGGCUAAUUAAGUCGGAUGUGAAAUCCCCGAGCUCAACUUGGGAAUUGCAUUCGAUACUGGUUAGCUAGAGUAUGGGAGAGGAUGGUAGAAUUCCAGGUGUAGCGGUGAAAUGCGUAGAGAUCUGGAGGAAUACCGAUGGCGAAGGCAGCCAUCUGGCCUAAUACUGACGCUGAGGUACGAAAGCAUGGGGAGCAAACAGGAUUAGAUACCCUGGUAGUCCAUGCCGUAAAC